GUGGAAUUAACGCGGUGGCUAGAAAGAUAUAUACCGAGUGGGUCUACAUUCCUGAAAUUAUUAAUGUGCUUUGUUUUCGAGAGGAGGUACCUAGUUGGAGAGUCUACUAUGCUGACAACAAUCUGAGACCUCUGAGGUUUUCAGUGCGGUGAUUAUGAAAAGUACUGGGCGCUGGGAUGACUACUGUCUGUUAGAAACAUGCUGACAAAUCUUUAUGGCUAGUAGGCUUUCUGUCUGACCUUGAAGCUGGAGGCGGUAUGCCGUUAUAGAGAAGUCACUGCCACUCCUGAGAAUCAAAUCCAGAAUUUUCCACUUGUUCAGGUUGCAGCCUAGUUACCAUACUGUCUGAGCUACCUGGCUCUGUAGUAAUGCAUUUCCUUAACAACUGCUCUCUUUCUGAGGUGGUAUGCUGUUGGGUGUGCUUGCAUUUUGUUUCCAAGCAUUUCUCCAACACCUUGCUUUUAUGUAUCACAUAGAGCAUUAUAAACAAUUUGAAUUUUUGGCAUUCCUUCAGAGAGAAAAUAAUUUUAUUUGUGCUGUGGAGUAAAUGACAUUCACAAGUCAACAGUGUGUACUUUGAUAUUCAAAUUAUAAAAAGCCAAUAUUUUCAGAUUGUAAUGUGAUCCAUAUUAACUUUCUCUUCUAAUUCUUUCUCCCCUCCCCUAUAACAAUAUUAAAUGAGAAUCUCUAUGUCUCCAGCUAAUGAUAAGAGACUCAAAAAACUAUCUGAAGUAGCAGUCAUGACCUGAACCAGUGAUACCUGUCACUACAGUAACUAGACUGCAGGUUGGCCAAUCAGAAAUUAAUGUUUUGUUCAUGGAACAGGUGGAAAUAUUUUCAUCACAUCCAGACAAGCUGUUAGGCCCACUGAACCUAUCUGAUGGGAACAUGGGAGUUCUUUCACUACAAUUAAAAUGGAUGGGGCAUGAGAAUGACCCCCCACCCUAUUUGAUCUAGUACCAAUGUUAAGAAUGUGUGAAGCUAUAUUUCCACUGCCCCAUUCCUUUAUAGUGCUUAAUUAAGUAGAGUGACAAUUUCACCCUCACCAUACCAGACAUAUAGCCCAGUGACCUACAGCCUGAGCUUAUACUGAGCCUUGUAAACCAUCUGAAUGGUCAACAUUGCUUCACAGAGAAAAUUAUCAUCAUUUAAUCUACAGUAUGGAGUUACUGACAGGCAUUCAUAUGUAAAGUCAGAGUUAAUAAUAAUAAUAAAUUUUAUCAAGCCAUAACUAUAAAAUACUAACCAAACUGACAUUGAUAAAAUGAAUGAGAACAUAUAUCAAACUAACCUAACCUAACUCACAAGCACAGUGUCCAAUGUUCCUUUAGUGUUCAGCUGUAUCAUUUCCCCCACUGUUUCUGUUAAUACAUGGGAAAAUUUUCAUUGUCAACAUUGAAUCACCUCGUGCUUAGGUGCCAGUAGACCCAGAUGUGUCACCCUCAUGCAAAGGCUGCCUCUCUCUACAGUGCGGGCCAUUACUCCAUUACAUCUGCGGCUCUUACACAGUAUGCAGUCCCCUUUUCCACUUCGGAGGGGGGGGGGCGACCUCUCUACAAGGCUCAUUUCCUCAUUUUAUGAAAACCGCUGAACAUCCCGUUUGUUCGUUUCAUGAAUUCCAGCUCUAGGGUCUUCUUCCCAGAGUUGAUAGUUGCUUUGAGCUCCACUCUCUGAUGCCCAUCGCGGUUGCCCUCUUCUUUCUCGAGUACAGCGGCCGCUUGCCGCCUAGAUCCUUUGUUGCUCUUUCUGUUUCAUGGUGCGUCCAUAAAUUCUUCUGAGCGGCCCCACUCUCUGGGUUGCUCGCUUAACCUUGACCUUGGUAUAAUCCUUUCUGAUGAUGCCUCUCCUGACUCGUGCCACUCUGGAGGCGCUCCGCGGCCAGAUUCUUGUCCCUACGCCUCUUCCCCAGUCCUGCGACCGGUAUCACUGCGGUUUCUCCCUUGGGGACUUCUUGAUGCUCCACUACGGACCGCGUCAUUCCUGGAUCGGGCUCAGUCUUCUCUGUAUCUGCCUCCGUCGCUUCGUGCCAGGGCUUCAUGUCCGCUGAGGUUGGCUCCUCUCAUUCCAGAUGUGCUUCCGUCGUUAUUUUGAAGGGCAUUGUCUGUUUUUGAGCACUCCUCAUGACCCUCUCUUGAUGUUCCAUUUCGGGUUCCAGUCUCAUCUGGUUUGUGUCUCUCUUGUCGCGAAUGGCUUCCAGCCCUGCCGCCACUUCUUCUUGGUCGGCUUUCCGUUCAGCAUUCCAUUUUUCUCCAUCGGCUUUCCACUUGACCAUCAUUUUUUUGAAGCCGGCAAGGCAGUCACGUGAUAGCUACGUCGCUAGUCCAUUGUUGCGCUCGCUUUUACCUAGAAACAGCUGUAAAUAUUCGCCCUUUUGUUGAGUGAGCUUACGCGAGAUGUUUCUCGCGCCAUUGCCUAGCUAUGCAUGUUACAAUAUUUUGAAACACCACCAUGAGUUUUGGGACAUACUUACAUACCAAAAUUGUGUCUUUUUUAUGUUCUUAUGAACAGUACUUACAUUAAUGAGUGUAAGAAUAAAAUGGUCUUGGAUGAAGAGGAGCUUUAUGUCUUGUGGUUGGAUAACUUUAAAACGGAAAAAGAAAACCACUGGGAUGCAGAAUGAACAAGAAGUUAAGGGUCAUUGGCUUUGCUUAUAUCAGAGAAUUAGUCCCAGUGAGGAGCUGAGGGUGCCCUCUCCACUAUGAGUUAUUUUGUAUAAGUACCCUUUGUAUAUAUCUUAAUUUGAUCACUUUUGAAUAAUAACUCUUUCAUCACAAUUACACAUUAUCCAAGUGGGUAGGAUGCAAUGUGACGAAAUAAACUCACGAGGUAGAUGCUAUGUAGAAAUUUGCGUAACAUGAUGCAACAUUUUGCAAAAUUAUAAGACCUGGAGAAUUUCUUUUUGGACGCUCUGGAAUAUUUAUGGAAUAUUUUAAGAAGUAAUGGAUGCUGUAAAGCGGUUUCAUUUAUGGUGUAAUUAGCUGAGGUCUGUCACCCGGGUAUUCACCGUGGAUUGAUUGGCUGCAUACUGUGUAAGAGCUGCAGAUGUGGGAGCUCCGGCCACUCCAGGAGUUAUGGCCCGCACUGUAGAGAGAGAAAGCCUUUGGAUAAGGGUGAAACAUCUAGAUCUACUGGCACCAAAGCAGUGUACUGCUCGAUACGAGCUGGCCUUAAGGAGGGAGUGGUGGUAGUAGUUGGAGAAUAGUCGCCGCAGGAGGAGACUAUACUGUGUUCACAUUACCUCAGUAUUCCAUUAAUUACCAACAUACAGGUACACACACAGCACAACCAGACUUCAUUAUCAUCGAAUUCAACAAUGAACAUUACAGACAUGAAACAAUUUGAUGAUGUGACGAGUAUAUUUGUGCAGCAGUUGCUCUCUAUACUCACAUCCAAAUGCUCGAGUCGAUUAUUGGUGGGGAUACCGGUUGUACCGAAUUACACUUUCCGGGUUAUUCUUUACUUGUUGCAGGGAAAAAUGUCACGACUGCUUUGUUUAAAAUCAUUCCAAGUUCACCUUAUCAAGCAGUAUUCCAACUGAUGCUAUGUAACCUAAAAUACUAAGAGCAUCGUAAAAUAAACCCUAAAUAACACACGCUCGCAAGAACACUCAUUGGACUUUGUCCAUUGUCCUGCUAGAAUGAGUCUUUUCUAAUGGACCCAGCAGAGUAGUUGUGCCCCCCUCCCUUAAGAGAGGACCAAAACAGACUCAGUUCCUGAAAUGGUACAUUCUCUUGUUUUUUGAACACCAGACAAUGAACACAAUCCAAAAACCCAGCAAGUGAUUCUAAGUGAUAUACAAUAUCAAUUUUAAAUUCUGAAUGUUGGUGAAUGAAGCGUAAGUCAGAAACAUUUUUUUCUUCUCCUUCAGUUAAAGUACAGGCUUCUAUGUCACAUUCAGAGUCUCAGUUAUUCUGCCCAUCUUUCUUGUUCACAUUUCUUAUUCUCCGAGGUCUGUACUUUUGUCUCGUCAUCAUCCAUCCUUUCCACAUGGCUCUGCAUGUCAGUCCCUCUGCUGUAUCAGCUACACCAAGCAGCUAUUUCGCUGCGCACAGCAUGUGCUCACAAUGUGGUGUAAAAUUUAUAUACAUUAAAACAGUUUCUGAGCUAGUGGGAUGAGAGGUCUCAAAAAUAAGAACUUCCAUUGAUGAUUACUAACUCAGCUCCCUGGAGUUAUUUACAUAUUAGUAAACUGAAAAACACAUGCUGUAAACAUACAUUUCUUGGAAGAAGACAGGCUUUGCUUCACUCUGGUGGGAAUACAGGGUUUGUUAAACUGACUGGCUGGAUGCACAUCACUGCCCUCAUGUAUAUAUACACAGCAUACUGUACUGCCCCAAUGUAUAUAACAGGAGAACCCAGACAUACUGACCAUUGGCGAUACAUUUGGGUUGCUUCAGCAGGAUGGAAUCAACACCAAAUUCCAGUUCCAAACACUCAAGUCAGAAGUUCUAUUGCCAAAUAUUAACCAACUUCGCACAGCUGCACCUUUUCAGCUCAGCUAUAAUCUAUUACCAACAUGUUAUGGAAUGCAAGGGUUCAUUAGCAUUCACAGCCAGACACUGGUCCCUAUCCUGAGCCAGAUGAUUUAACUCCAUAUUCCCUUCUUUAAACAUAAAGAAUACACAGCAUCAGCCUACCUUCACACUUUUCUGAGGACAACUGCAACAUGCAAAUACAUUCGUGCGCUGCCCACUACUUUAUAUUGUGAAGACACACAAAAUGGAACACAUAUUCCAGGACCAUGGAGCAAGAUCAGUUCUGGUGAUGUAGCGACAGCCAACGUGUGGUGACACAUGAGGAAGAGCUCUGCCGAUGCAAAGUUAUUGAGGGAUGACUGCAUGGUACAUCUUAGGCAAAAUGAAGUAAAGAGUUCCUCGGCAAGAGAAGUGUCAGUAAUCAGAGAUCACUUGCUCAGGGUGACCAAGAAUUAGCUUCAGUUAUGAUGCAGUUCAUUCAGGCAGUGAAGAAAACAGGUAUGGAAGGAGGGGCAUAACUGCACUGAAUUUAAGUACAUUUAAAAGCUAUUCCUCUUGUGUCAUUCCACAACAUGAAACAUCUGAAUUCCAAUUAAUAAUAUUAAUCACACUGCCUAAUUUUAUUACAGAAUAUUUCACAAUUUUCAGUUGACUCUUUCCCUCUAAGGCAAAGGAGACCUAAAGCAAAAAGGAGUGCCUCAGUGCCAAAUCACUUUCAUUUUUGAUCUCAUGACAGACCACUCAGUUUCUCUGCUGAUAUUCACAAUGAAAAGAUGUAAGCAAUUCUUUCUUGAUCCUUUCAAUUAAAUUCUCUGUACUACUUCAUUUCUCCAGAAGCAGAAUCAACCCACCUUUAUUGAACUUUCUUUUUAUAAUCAAUAUACCAAGUAUCCUGCAAACGGAUAUCUCGUCUGCAAUGUACAAAACAGCGUAGUUUGUAUUCAUCUGACCAAUCCAUAAUAUCUACCUCAAUAUACUCAAUCCAAGUGAUAUAUCAAUCUGAAACUAACUGAUCAAUGAAUUCAAUCACAUGUAAUGGCAGAAGAA